GAUCAUGGCUCAGAUUGAACGCUGGCGGCAUGCCUUACACAUGCAAGUCGAACGGUAACAGGUCUUCGGACGCUGACGAGUGGCGAACGGGUGAGUAAUACAUCGGAACGUGCCCAGUCCGUGGGGGAUAACUACUCGAAAGAGUAGCUAAUACCGCAUACGAUCUGAGGAUGAAAGCGGGGGACCUUCGGGCCUCGCGCGAUUGGAGCGGCCGAUGGCAGAUUAGGUAGUUGGUGGGUA
rnacentral:rRNA from 1 species